GUAUGCAUCAGCUAACUUUGAUUUAAAAAAAAAAAAAAAAAAAAAAAAAAAACGGAGCCGGAGGGGGGGGGGGGGGGUUGGGGGGAGUUUACAAAUUACACCGCGAUUAGCCGGGAUCCUUCGGAGGGGGGGGGGGGGGGGGGGAGAGCGAGGGAGGAAGGGGGGCCCGCGGUUAAAGUCACUUCGGCAAAGUUUGCUCGGCGGCAGCCCUCGAAAACACAAAGUUUCUGGGCGAGUUGAGGGCAGGGGCGGUGCGGCUCGCCGUGCGGAGGGCAGCCCCCGGCCGAGGCACCCCGCGCCCGGCAGCCCGGCUCCGCUCCGCGAAGUAACGGUUCGAAAAGAAACGAGCGAGAAAGAGGCAAAACAAUCACCCCCUUCAUUGAUACCGAUCACCCAACAUCACAAGACAUCCCCAUCUCUCAGCGUGGACUCCCCCUAUCUGCAAGGGUGAAACUGGAAUGAAAUGGUCCAUCCAAGUCUUACUGAGACUGACAGGCUGGAGACCUGGCUUUGAAGUUUUCUAUGGACAAAAGUGGUUACUUUUGUAUUUCUACUGAAGAAUCUAUGCAUAACCAGAUGAAUUCAAAGGUAAGCCAUCUCUGAAACAACUGGGAAGUAAGUCAAAAACGUGGGCGUUUUCAUCAGACAGUUGAAAACCUGUUCUACACAAGAAGACAAUGAAGAAUUCUGCAGAAGACUGCUCUACAAACAUCUGGAAAUACACAGAAAUCCACACUGAAGGGCAUGGUGCUGGGCAUGCAGCUGAGAGGGAGGGUGCAAAGUCAGAUGCUGCAUGGAAAAUCGUGAGCCCUCAGAAGUCCCAACCUGCCCUUCGUGCUCUUCCUGCUGCAAGGAUUUUGCCUACGGUUUUAGAAUGCUUCUGCCACUUCCGUUGAUGCUGAGAAAUACUUCAGAAUUCUUGGCUAUUUAGUUUGCGAGAUUGUCUUCCAAAGUUUGCAUUAUUGAUGUGAUGCCUGGCAGCAGUACUCUAGUUAAGAGAGUGACAGCAUUUCCAUUAAGAAACCUUUUUGAUGGUUAAGUUGGCCAUCAAAGUCGCCUUGUGCUUCAUUUGGCAUGCAGAUUCUCAGACCACAGUGCAGAUCCGGACCAUGGAAGCUGUUCCUCUCUCAUAUGUUGGGUAAGGGCAAAACUACACGCACAAAAAUACGUGCACACAAUUUCUGUGCACGUGAUUCUAUAAAUCUGGACCUGUUUGUAUUAAAUUACAGGAAAA
ensembl:lncRNA